ACUCAAAGGAAUAGACGGGGGCCCGCACAAGCAGCGGAGCGUGUGGUUUAAUUCGAUGCAACGCGCAGAACCUUACCCGGGCUUGACAUGGCGGAAGUAGGACCCGGAAACGGGAACGACCUGUUGAGGCAGGCACCGUCACAGAUGCUGCAUGGCUGUCGUCAGCUCGUGCCGUGAGGUGUUGGGUUAAGUCCCGCAACGAGCGCAACCCUCGUCGCCAGUUGCCUUUUCUGGCGAGACCGCCGGGUGCAACCCGGAGGAAGGUGGGGAUGACGUCAAGUCAGCACGGCUCUUACGUCCGGGGCUACACACACGCUACAAUGGGCGGUACAACGGGCAGCGAAGGGGCGACCCGGAGCCAAUCCCAGCAAAGCCGCUCUCAGUGGGGAUCGGAGGCUGCAACUCGCCUCCGUGAACGCGGAGUUGCUAGUAACCGCAGGUCAGCACACUGCGGUGAAUACGUUCCCGGGCCUUGUACACACCGCCCGU
rnacentral:rRNA from 1 species